ensembl:lncRNA
CUAUGGUGUUAAACAGGCCUUUGCUCAGCUCAGCCUUCUGGAAUGCACUGUAUUUGUUGUUGCUGUGAUGGCUGAAGGUUUUCUCUGCUACUACUUACACUUUGGUAUCUGAGGCUGAUAGACAAGAACUAGAUGCAAAAUGAAGAGAGGUACUUCAUUUGUAAGUAGGGAGUUCUGGUGAACCUGGAGUAAGAAAUCUACAUGCUCCCUGAAGCUGGAGAACAGGUACUGGAUGUAAAAGCAAAUGAGAAGAGGAACAGUGCUUCUAGCUGGUGAAAGAGCACAGUGGAUGGCAUCUGUCUUCUGUCUUUUCAGUAAGGAUUUCUCUAUGUUGCUAUAAUCCCAGCUGCAGCCAUGCUAGCAUAUGAGAACAAGACAUAAAAAGAGUUUUUCCACUUGAUGAAGUAGACAUGUUAAAUUUCACUGUCCGAACUUUCUUGAAAUUCAGAAUAUAAUGACUGGUUGGGAGAUUAUCCAUGGUAGUUUUAAACUUAGAAUAUAUGCAUUUUUCAUCUGCACUUAAGCAAGUAAAGGUAACGGCUUAAAGAAUUACUUAAGAAUAUUGGAUCAUAUACUAAGUGACUUCAAGGCAGUGGGGUUCAGCAUUUGAAGAUAAUUUUCUUCAUGUUGUAAUACGUCUAGUGAAGAUCUGUAUAUGAGUAGUAAUAAUAAAAUUCUUUAUAAUUCUUUUGUGUUAAUUCUUUAAACUUUUUCUAAGAGGUUAAGUUUACCUUUUUUAAUGUGAGUACUGACAGAGGUAACAAAGAAUUAGUUCAGAUCUCAAAAAUUUUCAUCUAAAAUUACUUCUGCUAAAAUAAAUGUCACUGUUUUUUGUUGUUGUUUUUUCUCUCUUCAUCUUUCUAAUUGACAAUCAUGAUGCCAGUCCAUUGUUCUACAAAAGGUUGUCUUUCAUCUUUAACUUAUGUUGACGGAUAAGAGAUCUAUAAGCAAAUAUGUCUUCUACAUGACAUUAAUAUUUUAACUGUCCAAAUCAAAUUGUUAUUAUAAUUGCACAGGAACAGCUAGAGCUGAAAUAAAAGUUGCUUUUUCUCUUUAAAGUCUAGAUUAUAUUUUCAACUGAACGCCUAUAUUGGAAAACAAAAUGGUAUGGGAUAAAUUGGAAACUGAAAAUAAAUUACAAAUUUGUUCAACCUGGAAAUAAGUCAAAAUAAACCAAGCAGCCAGAGAUGCUGCAGUUGACACAUCAAGAAAUACCAAAGGAAAAGAUUCUGUU